UGCCAAUCCUUGAAAAUAAAACAU
rnacentral:siRNA from 1 species